UACGUAGGGGGCGAGCGUUGUCCGGAAUUAUUGGGCGUAAAGGGCGCGUAGGCGGUGACACAAGUCAGGUGGUAAAGGCACGGGCUCAACCGGUGUUACACACAUGAUACUGUGUUGCUAGAGUGCAGGAGAGGGAAGUGGAAUUCCAGGUGUAGCGGUGAAAUGCGUAGAUAUCUGGAAGAACACCAGUGGCGAAGGCGGCUUCCUGGACUGUAACUGACGCUGAGGCGCGAAAGCUGGGGGAGCAAACAGG
rnacentral:rRNA from 1 species